rnacentral:rRNA from 1 species
UGGUCUGUAACUGACGCUGAGGCUCGAAAGCAUGGGUAGCGAACAGGAUUAGAUACCUGGUAGUCCAUGCCGUAAACGAUGAAUGCUAGGUGUUGGAGGGUUCCGCCUUUCAGUGCCGCAGCUAACGCAUUAAGCAUUCCGCUGGGGAGUACGACCGCAAGGUUGAAACUCAAAGGAAUUGACGGGGGCCCGCACAAGCGGUGGAGCAUGUGGUUUAAUUCGAAGCAACGCGAAGAACCUUACCAGGUCUUGACAUCUUUUGAUCACCUGAGAGAUCAGGUUUCCCCUUCGGGGGCAAAAUGACAGGUGGUGCAUGGUUGUCGUCAGCUCGUGUCGUGAGAUGUUGGGUUAAGUCCCGCAACGAGCGCAACCCUUAUGACUAGUUGCCAGCAUUUAGUUGGGCACUCUAGUAAGACUGCCGGUGACAAACCGGAGGAAGGUGGGGAUGACGUCAAAUCAUCAUGCCCCUUAUGACCUGGGCUACACACGUGCUACAAUGGAUGGUACAACGAGUUGCGAGACCGCGAGGUCAAGCUAAUCUCUUAAAGCCAUUCUCAGUUCGGACUGUAGGCUGCAACUCGCCUACACGAAGUCGGAAUCGCUAGUAAUCGCGGAUCAGCACGCCGCGGUGAAUACGUUCCCGGGCCUUGUACACACCGCCCGUCACACCAUGAGAGUUUGUAACACCCGAAGCCGGUGGCGUAACCUUUAGGAGCGAGCCGUCUAAGGUGGGACAAAUGAUUAGGGUGAAGUCGUAACAAGGUAACCA